CCGCCACUCUGGAAAAUAGCCAAAAUAGCCAGUGCCUGACAAGAGUCCCCACCAACCUCAGGAACCCCCACACCAAGUCCAUCUAUGCGUUUGUCUAUACGAAAUGACGGCCACCCACAGGAGCACUCAUUAAUUGCUUCCCUUGCGGUUUCGCACUUAUGUUAUUGGUGUGAAUGUUCUAAGUAAUUGGUGUGAACAUUCAAAUGGGGCACUGGGGUCCCCAUUUGGG